UAUACCUACCCCACUCCACCUCCUCUACCUACCCCACUCCACCCCUCUACCUACCCCACACCACCCCCUCUACCUACCCCACACUGCCCCUCUCCCUACCCCACACUGCCCCUCUACCUACCCCACACUGCCCCUCUACCUAUCCCACACUGCCCCUCUACCUAUCCCACACUGCCCCUCUCCCUACCCCACACUGCCCCUCUACCUAUCCUACCCUACCCCACACUACCCCACCCCACCUUUACACAACCACCCCACCACCUUACCCCACCCCCUCUCCAAACGCUGUGACCAGCCUACUAAUCAGCAUGCAUGGCCUUGCACAUUAUGUCAUGUGAAAUAGUGUGCAGGUUUGGGUGUCCCCAGUACGUUGGGACAUAGUGCUGUCUUCACUGUUCCUACGUGUCUCUUCCCCAUGGUGUACAUAGCUCGUAUGUUGUUUGUUCUCUGGAGAACAAGGAUCUGCUCUCAGUAGAAAGCCAAGGUGAAUAUAAUGUUGUUUUUUUAAAUCAAACUUCAAAGUACGUAAUUUUUUUUACAAAAUGUAUCUUUAGUAAGAUGUUGCGUUACAACAUGAAGGAAUCAGGUACAUCGACGCCCUGGAAGUGCUACUCACUUCAAACAUUCCUGAGCAGAAGCUGAUGUUGGUCUGCUAACCAGAGAUUUAAACAUUUGCAUCUCUCAAUGCUAUACUUGUUGUUUUUAUGUUCUAUUAUGUUGAAAGAUGUUUUAUAGUUUUAUAUUUGGUUGACAAACUCGUAAAAUCCCAUCAGUGUGUAAGAUCUGCAAGAAAAGAACAAUAGUAUACAUGUUAGCUUAAGACUAAACUGGACACGACAGUGAUGGAGUUCCCAUACUACACAGUAUUUCCUUCAUCAAUCUUCAAAUGCCAUUAAUGAAAAAUAAAACUGCCAACAAUUAAUGGAAAACUGCAUUCAGCUACGUUCUUGUUAAUCACACUCAAUCCUACAUUUCUUAUCACUUAACACUGUCACCUGAGGUGGAGUUAAUAACAGUUUUUUGUAAACUAUUUUUGUUUUUGUUUUGUUGUCACAUAAUGUCUGAGUUAUGAAGUAUGAUUCCAUGUAUUGUGACGAUAUAAACCGUAACAGCACACAACCAACUAUAUAACAGUUUCAUGACAUGCAUGCAGCUCCUGGUCUCAGUGAGGAAAUAAACUCUGGCUUCUGCAGUU